AAAGUAAAAUUUAAGUCGAGACCAAAGUAUUGGCAAUACAACGUCCAUUGCUUGCAACAUGACAAUAGUAGGACAAUGAACUAGCACUGCAGCUUCCAAAGCCAACACAAAAAAAGUAAAAAGUGGGGGCAACAGUGCCUAUCAAAAGAUGAACAAAAAGGGCAAAAGGAGAAUUUAAGAUGCUCUUAAUAACCAAUCUUU
rnacentral:lncRNA from 1 species